GACGAACGCUGGCGGCGUGCUUAACACAUGAAAGUCGAACGGAGUGGCGAACGGGUGAGUAACACGUGGGUGACCUGACCUGCACUUCGGGAUAAGCCUGGGAAACUGUGUCUAAGACCGGAAAGUGUGGGAUGGGCCCGCCACCUAUCAGCUUGUAGGUGGGGUAAUGGCCUACCAAGGCGGCGACGGGGAGCCGGCCUGAGAGGGGGGACGGACACAUUGGGACUGUGACACCGCCCAGACUCCGACGGUAGGCUGCAGUGGGGACUAUUGCACGAUGGGCGGAAGCCUGAUGCAGCGUCGCCGCGUGGGGGAUGGCGGCCUUCGGGUUGUAAACUCCUUUCACCAUCGACGCGGUAGAUGGAGAAGAAGCACCGGCUAACUACGUGCCAGCAGCCGCGGUAAUAC
rnacentral:rRNA from 1 species